rnacentral:rRNA from 1 species
CUUGACGACCAUAGAGCAUUGGAACCACCUGAUCCCAUCCCGAACUCAGUAGUGAAACGAUGCAUCGCCGAUGG